UAUUUUUUGGUGUAUGAUGCAUUUAGAAUUUUGAAUUCUAAUGAAAUAGUUUAAAUCUAUUAAAAAUAA
rnacentral:tRNA from 1 species